UCUAGGAGGCAGGGGCGAGCCAAGGUGGCAACAAGCUGACGUUCAGCCUGACGCCAUGGUAACGGUAGCCUCUGAUACUGUCUCUGCGUCUACAACAGGGAUGUCAAACUCAUUUUACACAGAGGGACACAUAUACAGCUCAGUCGGAUCUAUAGCGGACUGGACAAAAAACAGGAUGUGUUUUUUCUUUGGUUUUGUAUGAAUGGCCACGGGGAAGCUCUACGCUUCCGUAUAAAAUAGUUGAUCACAUUUUACUUACUGAAAAAAAAUAAACAUGCAGUUUAGUUUUGUAGACCAUUAAAAUUCUACUUAUAUGAUCUUUCUCUAACGUAGCAAUAUUUCAUAAUUAAAAUACUAUUAUUAUUCAUUUAUUUUACCAGGCCAUUUGAUUUGUUUCACAGUUUAGCAACUAGCCCUGCCUUUUGUCCAACAAUGCACCUUCACUGUAAAAUGUUCUUCUGAAAUAAACGGUAGCGUCUUGAUUAAGUACUACAGGGGAAAUAUCUAAAAACUCAGAGAUUUACUCUGCGUGCUGCCGCAAACACUCCCCGUAAGUAGGUGGCGCGCUGCUGUUUUGCCAAAUCAAGAGAAAUGUCUCAUUUGAGUGCCCGUACCCGCACCUUACGAAAGCGAGUCCGCUAAAGUAGCAUAGCAGCUGUGCUGACAUUGAGAGUGAUAACGCAGGAUAGCACAGUCUUAUAAUUCCAGGAUCCCCAGCAUGGUAACAGGAAAGCGGCUCGCAGACAUCGGCUAUCGGGCAUUUUCUGCCUCGAUGAUGCUGCUGACGGUGUACGGGGGCUACCUGUGUGCAAUGCGAGGGUACCGCUACAUGGAGAGGCAGAAGCAGCUGAAGCUGGCAGCAGAGAACCAGGAUCCUGAAGUCAUCAAAGACUGACAAAAGCUCUGCUUUUUGCACACAUGUGGACAUUUCUCAUUCCUCCUCGUCUUUGUCCAGCAGCGAAUCGUGAUGUUUAUUCUUCAGAGGACACUUGUGUGAUUCCAGCAAGGGCACGGCCCCCUUAAAGACGAGGAUUUGUUUAUAAAGCUCCCAGAAAAUUAACCACGAGCAUAUUUCCAUCACUGGCUUCUGUCAAAUUCAUUCUAAGCUGCAAUAUUUCAGGAAUAAGAUGUAAUUGUUUGUAUUAUAUGACAUUAAAUGCAUUCAGCUA